GACUUGGCAUUUUUCUUCUAGUCUCUCAUAGAAACUUCUGGCCUCUGGACACUGUGGGAGCAACUUUUCCUUUAUUAGACUGUCUCCUCUUUAACUGUACCUAGAAGAUACUUUAGCACAGCAAGCAUCUCUUUUAUGCUUACAUUAUGCAGUUAUGCAGACUUGGUGUACGUCCUUCAAGGACAGUCUAAGAAUCUUUGAUUCUAUUUCUGCUGGAUACAUUGUUGCAGAGAUGUAAGAAGGAAGGACUUAGAAAAGAAUAUUGCAGCAUGACUGGGAAGCCUGUCCUUCAUUACUUCAAUUGAAGAAGAAGAAUGGAGUCCAUCCGGUGGCUCCUGGCAGCAGCUGGAGUAGAGUUUGAGGAAGAACUUUUUGAAACCCAUGAAGAGUUUGAGAAGUUAAUCCAAGGUGGAACCCUGAUGUACGAGCAAGUGCCCAUGGUGGAAAUCGAUGGAAUGACUUUGGUGCAGACCAGUGCCAUCUUAAGAUAUGUAGCUGCAAAAUAUGACUUGUAUGGAAGGAACCUGGAGGAACAAGCCUGAAGAGAAGGAGAUGAACCUUGAAUACAUCCUCCACCGAGCUACAACAAGAUUCUUCCCCGUUUAUGAGAAGGCCCUGAGAGACCACGGGCAAGACUUUCUUGUGGGCAAUCGGCUGAGCUUGGCUGAUGUCCAGCUCCUUGAAGUCAUCUUAAUGGCUGAAGAAUGCAAAGCCAGUGUUCUCUCGGGUUUCCCUCUGCUACAGGACUUCAAGGUGAGAACCAGCCAAAUUCCUACAAUUAACAGCUUCCUCCAACCUGGAAGCCAGAGGAAGCCUCCUUUGGAGGAGCGAUCCAUUGGGACUGCAAAGGACAUAUUCAAAUUUGAAUGAGGACUGUUUCUUAAAAACAUGAGCAAUAUAGUAGCUGAGUAUUAACAGCUACAGAGGCUGGAGUUACUCAGUAAGUAUACUGAGUAACUUGACACUGCAUUCAUAAAAAGACACUCACUAAGUAUAUGGCCAGAGAAAUAUCCUGAAGUUAGUAAUAAAUGUUAGGAAUCUUAGUAUGUUAGCAAUGUUAGAAUGUUAGUAAUGGAAAUAUUAAAUGUGUAAGAGAAAAACUACUAGAAGCUUAUCAAUAAACUACAAGAACCAACUCUUGUUUGAAGUAAGACAGGCUACCAAGACAGAAUUCAGAAAAUCCAAGGAGCCCUCGGCCUUCUGUAUGAUCCUAGAAUAAACUUGUAUGUAGCAAGUGAAAGUCAA
rnacentral:lncRNA from 1 species